rnacentral:rRNA from 1 species
CCUACGGGUGGCAGCAGUGAGGAAUAUUGGUCAAUGGGCGCGAGCCUGAACCAGCCAAGUCGCGUGAGGGAUGACGGUCCUACGGAUUGUAAACCUCUUUUGCCGGGGAGCAAGCGUGCGUUCGUGAACGCGCGUCGAGAGUACCCGGAGAAAAAGCAUCGGCUAACUCCGUGCCAGCAGCCGCGGUAAUACGGAGGAUGCGAGCGUUAUCCGGAUUGAUUGGGUUUAAAGGGUGCGUAGGCGGGAUGCCAAGUCAGCGGUAAAAGGGCGGUGCUCACCGCCGUCGAGCCGUUGAAACUGGCGUUCUUGAGUGGGCGAGAAGUAUGCAGAAUGCGGGGUGUAGCGGUGAAAUGCAUAGAUAUCACGCAGAACUCCGAUUGCGAAGGCAGCAUACCGGCGCCCUACUGACGCGGAGGCACGAAAGCGUGGGUAUCGAACAGGAUUAGAUACCCCUGUAGUC